AUUGAACGCUGGCGGCAUGCUUUACACAUGCGAGUCGAACGGCAGCGCGGGCUUCGGCCUGGCGGCGAGUGGCGAACGGGUGAGUAAUACAUCGGAACGUGCCCAGUAGUGGGGGAUAGCUCGGCGAAAGCCGGAUUAAUACCGCAUACGACCUGAGGGUGAAAGCGGGGGAUCUUCGGACCUCGCGCUAUUGGAGCGGCCGAUGGCAGAUUAGCUAGUUGGUGGGGUAAAGGCCUACCAAGGCGACGAUCUGUAGCUGGUCUGAGAGGACGACCAGCCACACUGGGACUGAGACACGGCCCAGACUCCUACGGGAGGCAGCAGUGGGGAGUUUUGGACAAUGGGCGAAAGCCUGAUCCAGCAAUGCCGCGUGUGUGAUGAAGGCCUUCGGGUUGUAAAGCACUUUUGGCGGGAACGAAAAGGACUGUGCCAAUACCACGGUUCGAUGACGGUACCCGAAGAAUAAGCACCGGCUAACUACGUG
rnacentral:rRNA from 1 species